AUGCAGCAAGUGGCCAAUACAUCCAGCAACAACGCCAUAUCAAGAUGGGUCCAUCCCCCUGAAGGUAUAGCAAAAAUUCGAGUCGAUGGUGCUGUUUCAAGAUCUGCGAAGGAAGGAACCUAUAGUGCAAUAUGCAGGGACCAUGAUGGCAAAUAUUUGGUCUCAUCAGCCAUCAAAGUCUCGGGUAUCACGGACCCGGGGACUCUCGAGGCGUUAGCUUGUCGCGAGGCGCUUGCUCUAGCCCUGGAUCUUGGGCUGCCAAAUAUACUGGUUGGCUCAGAUUGCAAAGUUGUGGUGAACGACAUCAAGCUAGGCACGGGAGGUAUGUAUGAAAGCAUAGUGAAGGAAAUAAGAAAUACGUCCGAGCAAUUUCAGCAAUGCACCUUCAUCUUCGAAGGUCGUGGUACUAAUCUGGAGGCGCAUAGCCUUGCUAAGCACACCUUUGAUCUGGACUUAGGGCGCCAUUUGUGGCUUAUAAACCCUCCAAACUUGAAUUGUAUCCCUAUAAACAUUUUAGAGUAA
rnacentral:rRNA from 1 species